rnacentral:rRNA from 1 species
GGCUUACGAUGGAUACCUUGGUAUCUAGAAGCGAUGAAGGGCAUGGCUACCAGUGAAAUACUUCGGGGAGUUGGAAGCAAGCGAUGAUCCGGAGGUUCCCGAAUGAGGCAACUUUUUACACUGCUUGCUGAAUCUAUAGGCAAGAAAGAGCAAACCUAGCGAAUUGAAACAUCUUAGUAGCUAGAGGAAAAGAAAGCAAAAGCGAUUCCCUGAGUAGCGG